AAUGGCGGUCACCACAGCUGACCUCAAAAAUGCCCUGAAUUUUGUCAAGUACAUGCAGCAGACAAAACCCACAACCAGUCGGUUGACCGAGGUUCAGCUGACAGCGAUCAUUAGGGAGCUGCAGAUGGGCUUGAAUCGCAUGCGGCACCAGAUGGCUAUCAAGAGGUCCAAGGCUGGAACACUGCCACCCAGACAGGACCUCAACAGCUGCCUGUUGGCUGCCGACAAAAAAAAUGCCAGAGUUGCUGGACCUCCCGGAACAGAAGUUUACAGGCUUCAUGUUCUAUGGGUACUAGACCACCUACUGGAGGUGCCUCUUCAGGCACAGACCGGGGGUCUUUACCAACAUGAUUGACCAGGAGGUGGAGGAAGCAAGGAUGCAUGGCGGCCAGCAUGGGUACCUCAUCCAUUGAGCAGUCAGGUCACGUGACGCCCACUAACAAAAAGGAAAACACAGAAGAAGAAGUAUAACCAACCAACCACAGAAGAAGACAACCACAACGAUUUGGCGCGGGAAACUAGAGCGAAGAUUAAUUGACCCAGGAAACAGAGACGUCUUGAAGUCGUUUUUUGACAGGGGAAUGACUCGGGUUGGGUCAUCCCUCAUCCACGAUGCCUGUGCUGCCACAGGCUUAGAUACAUAUAUCAUAGAGAUACGCCAGCAUGCCCGCUGUGCCUGGCAAGAGGUUCCCUGGAGCACAUCCUAAGCUGCUGCCCAAAAGCCCUGGGAGAGGGGAGGUACAAAUGGUGCCAUGACCUGGUGUUGAAGGCAGUAGCGGACAUCCUCUGCACUGGAAUCCAACAGAACCGGAGUUUUGUCUAACUUUAAUGUUCUGCAUGAUGUAAUGUAUUUUGUCCUAACUAUUGUUGCUGUCAUGAUUCAAUGAUGUUGUCUUGUUAUGUGUUGGAUGCUGCUAUUUGACCCUGUCUUGGCUAGGUCUCAAAUGUAAAAGAGGCUUUAAUCUCAAUGUGACUUCCUAAUUAAAUAAAGGUUAUAUAUAUAUUAUAAUGUGUGCCAUGUUCGCGUAUGGCCAAAGCAACCUACGCCACAGGGCUUUGUUGUUUCCAUGGUCGUCUUGAUUUAAUUAGCAUCUUAUACUCUUUGUACUGUACUUGUUUCUGUGAUUGAUAUCUUAUAUCUCUCAUUAACAUUAUUAUUACUGAGU